CCUACGGGAGGCAGCAGUGAGGAAUCUUGGUCAAUGGACGAGAGUCUGAACCAGCCAAGUAGCGUGAAGGAUGACUGCCCUAUGGGUUGUAAACUUCUUUUAUAUGGGAAUAAAAUGUUCAACGUGUGGGAUUUUGUAUGUACCAUAUGAAUAAGGAUCGGCUAACUCCGUGCCAGCAGCCGCGGUAAUACGGAGGAUCCGAGCGUUAUCCGGAUUUAUUGGGUUUAAAGGGAGCGUAGGCGGAUUGUUAAGUCAGUUGUGAAAGUUUGCGGCUCAACCGUAAAAUUGCAGUUGAAACUGGCAGUCUUGAGUACAGUAGAGGUGGGCGGAAUUCGUGGUGUAGCGGUGAAAUGCUUAGAUAUCACGAAGAACUCCGAUUGCGAAGGCAGCUCACUGGACUGCAACUGACACUGAGGCUCGAAAGUGUGGGGAUCAAACAGGAUUAGAUACCCGUGUAGUC
rnacentral:rRNA from 1 species